UACAGAGGUCUCAAGCGUUGUUCGGAUUCAUUGGGCGUAAAGGGUUGGUAGGUGGCGCCGUAAGUCGGGUGUGAAAUUUCGGAGCUUAACUCCGAAACUGCAUUCGAUACUGCGGUGCUUGAGGACUGGAGAGGAGACUGGAAUUCAUGGUGUAGCAGUGAAAUGCGUAGAGAUCAUGAGGAAGACCAGCGGCGAAGGCGGGUCUCUGGACAGUUCCUGACACUGAGACACGAAGGCCAGGGGAGCAAACGGG
rnacentral:rRNA from 1 species